UAUUGUCAUAAUAUGAAUCCACCCAAAAGCCAUCGCUAACGUUAUCUAACAUUGCCUCAUCAAACAUAACUGUCUAUUUGGGUUAAUUGAAUAACACCGUCAGUAACGUUUAAGCAAACGUUACGACACAGUCUGACACUAUGUUUGUUAGCAUUAGCUAAACGAUUUGUUCAAUCCAUCUUUGUGAGCAUACCUGACACUUUGUUCCUGCUCCCAGAGAAAGUGACGGGUUACUCCACGACGACUGUCUAAUUUCUGAAGAUAUCGAACAGAAGGAAAGCUUCCUUCAGCAAAUCACCGCCUUACUUCUUCCUUCAAUGCGAUCCCUGCGACGACGUCAUCACGUAUGACGCUUCACAAUUGUACAGAAAAAAGGAUAACAAAACCAUGGAUGCAAUAAAUGGGAGAUGAGAGAAAAACAUAUGACAGACCUACUAUCAAGAACAAGGCAGAAGAAGAAAGAAAUGGAACAAAUUGAAUGUACUGCUACAUUGAUCAGCAGACCACCACCAUUGCACUGCUUUCAUGCUGGCUGGUCAGAAAUAUUCCCUACAACAGGCAGAGAUUAAUGUAUGGAGGCAAACCCUACAGGAGUUUAGAUGGGAGGCCUUGACAGCACACCAAAGCCCGUCGGUGUCCUCUGGCAUCCUUUCAAAGAAAAAAAUUCACUCCCUACAGGAAUUGACUAUCAUUAUGUGCCUAUAGUGCAACUUUGGCCAUGGCUGAGGCUAUAAUCUAUUCUGCACAUUGAUCAAUAAAUAUGAUUCA